CCUUCGAUAGCUCAGUUGGUAGAGCGGUGUACUGUAGUAGUUUUGAUGGUUAUCCAUAGGUCGCUUGUUCGAAUCCGGCUCGAAGAU
rfam:Ciona savignyi cont_20865, whole genome shotgun sequence.